rnacentral:rRNA from 1 species
CUUGAAAUUUAAAGAAUUUGGCGGUAUCACAUUCUUAUUAGAGGAACCUGUUUCAGAAACGAUAAUCCUCGAAAUAUCUUACUUUUUUUAGUGUGUCAGUUUGUAUACCGCCAUUAUUAGAUUGUUUCUAGAGAAAACUAUUGAAAUCAUUUAUUAAAUGUAUAUAUUAGGUCAAGGUGCAGCUUAUAAGAAAGUGCAAAUGGGUUACAAUUGAUUAAGUUACUGGCUAGGAGAGUGUAAUACUUUUAAAAAUUGGAUUUAAUUGUAAUGUUAUUUUAUUAUGGUGAUUUGAUAUUAGCUCUGUGAUAUGUACAUAUCGCCCGUCG